rnacentral:tRNA from 1 species
UCCCUGAUGGCUCAGAUGGUAAAGAAUCUGCCUGCAGUGCAGGAAACCCAGGUUUGGCCCCUGGUCAGGAAG